CCUACGGGAGGCAGCAGUGAGGAAUAUUGGUCAAUGGACGAGAGUCUGAACCAGCCAAGUAGCGUGAAGGAUGACUGCCCUAUGGGUUGUAAACUUCUUUUAUAUGGGAAUAAAAUGUUCCACGUGUGGGAUUUUGUAUGUACCAUAUGAAUAAGGAUCGGCUAACUCCGUGCCAGGAGCCGCGGUAAUCCGGAUGAUCCGAUCGUUAUCCGGAUUUAUUUGGUUUAAAGGGAGCGUAGGUGGAUUGUUUAGUCAGUUGUGAAAGUGUGCGGCUCAACCGUAAAAUUGCAAUUGAUACUGGUAGUCUUGAGUACAGUAGAGGUGAGCGGAAUUCGUGGUGUAGCGGUGAAAUGCUUAGAUAUAACGAAGAACGCCGAUUGCGAAGGCAGCUCACUGGACUGCAACUGACACUGAGGCUCGAAAGUGUGGGUAGCAAACAGGAUUAGAUACCCCAGUAGUC
rnacentral:rRNA from 1 species